UACGCGUAUCUCGGUUAUUUAAUCGUCGGUAAAGGCAAAUUCUCACGGUUGACAUGUGCAGGGGAGGAGCUAGGGGGGACUAGGGGUGACGUUUGAAGCAACCAAUGGAAACUAUCUCCAUGCCAAGGCGGAAUUCAAGACAAUGGAAAACGACCCAUCAGUUGAACAAAAUCAACAGAUCACGCCUUUGAUCCAAUGAUUCCUUCUUAUUAUGCCAAGGAAAGGAUUACCAUCUUCCACGCAGAUUUGUUUUCGAUGGGAGUUUGAUGCAUAGAUGUUGGUGUGUCUUUUUUGAAACAGACGUGGGUUGGAGUUGCAUCAGAGAGGGAUACAUCAUAUUCAUAUAUAUAUGGUUCUGUUCAACGCUCUGAUCUCUUCUCUGUUGUAAUACAAAUUUGUCUCUUCCUCUAUUCUUUGCCAGCGCCCAUGUCCAUGUAAUGUUUUUGCUUGUGCUUUUUACUGAGAAAUGAAUAUGUUACCUUGCUAGGGUUAA